UGGGGAAUAUUGCACAAUGGGCGCAAGCCUGAUGCAGCGACGCCGCGUGAGGGAUGACGGCCUUCGGGUUGUAAACCUCUUUCAGUACCGACGAAGCGUAAGUGACGGUAGGUACAGAAGAAGCACCGGCCAACUACGUGCCAGCAGCCGCGGUAAUACGUAGGGUGCGAGCGUUGUCCGGAAUUACUGGGCGUAAAGAGCUCGUAGGUGGUUUGGCUCGUUGUUCGUGAUAACCUGAGGCUUAACCUUGGGCGUGCGGGCGAUACGGGCAGACUGGAGUACUGCAGGGGAGACUGGAAUUCCUGGUGUAGCGGUGGAAUGCGCAGAUAUCAGGAGGAACACCGGUGGCGAAGGCGGGUCUCUGGGCAGUAACUGACGCUGAGGAGCGAAAGCGUGGGGAGCGAACAGG
rnacentral:rRNA from 1 species